AUCAUUUCAACAUAUUGUUAGACUACUUGCUACGUGUUAUAGGCCUAUAACCUCAAAAUAAUAUGAGACAAGGCACAAGAGCAUCAGUAUCAGAUGAUAUGAUUAUCAUUUCAGCAAGUUGCUAAUUACUAAUUGUCACAUAUUAUUCUGAGAUCAUAUAACAUCAACAUCAGUCAGACAUUGACGCUGACUCAUAUUUGGCUUUAUCCAUGCCUUCACUAGAAUUAGCCAAGCACUUAAUUAGGAGUAGCCUAUCCGAAUACAUAAACAAAUAAAAAUAUAUAAUCUGACAAAUAUGGCCUAUAAGCAUGCGAACUAUUGAACAGGUUCAUUUGUUGAUAUCCGGGGGAGAUGCAGUCUAAUGGUUCUCAAGCGUUUCAGAGCACUCCGCCUACAUGUGCGGCACAUUAUAUCAACAGCGCCAGUCAAGCCUGUCGGGCUCCGCAGCUCAUGUUAACAGGCAAUUAAUCAGCCGGUUGAUUACAGCGUGCUGCGAGCACUGAAGUUGACUGAGGGCGAUAUGUGCGAUACCAUUCGUCAACGUGUCACAGGAGCUACAAAGGCUCGAGCUGGAAUGGAGCGAGAUGUUUUUGAUUACACGCUUCCAAGGAGAUGAACCAAACAAACGUUGCCAUGAACGAGUGUGUUUGGUUACAAACACACUGAGGGCAGGGGAAGGCUGCCGGAGCCAGGUGCCGGGCUGUUGUGUUUGUCUAUGGUGCGGUUGCCAUGGAAACAGAGGGACCAGCGUCGACGUCCUGUCCGUCCCUCAGGGGAGACUUCGUACACACGCUGUGUGAAAUGCUGAAUAUGACAGUAAAUAGCUUUCAGAAAACGUAUUUUUGACUUUGUUAUUAAGUGUUUGGUGUUAUUAUUUUUUAAAUACAAUUUUACUGCAAUAAUAAUUGUAGUAACUACUAUUUUUGGAGAUUUACCGUA